rnacentral:rRNA from 1 species
GAUGAACGCUGGCGGCGUGCCUAAUACAUGCAAGUCGAGCGAACAGACGAGGAGCUUGCUCCUUUGACGUUAGCGGCGGACGGGUGAGUAACACGUGGGUAACCUACCUAUAAGACUGGGAUAACUUCGGGAAACCGGAGCUAAUACCGGAUAAUAUUUCGAACCGCAUGGUUCGAUAGUGAAAGAUGGCUUUGCUAUCACUUAUAGAUGGACCUGCGCCGUAUUAGCUAGUUGGUAAGGUAACGGCUUACCAAGGCAACGAUACGUAGCCGACCUGAGAGGGUGAUCGGCCACACUGGAACUGAGACACGGUCCAGACUCCUACGGGAGGCAGCAGUAGGGAAUCUUCCGCAAUGGGGGAAAGCCUGACGGAGCAACGCCGCGUGAGUGAUGAAGGUCUUCGGAUCGUAAAACUCUGUUAUUAGGGAAGAACAAACGUGUAAGUAACUGUGCACGUCUUGACGGUACCUAAUCAGAAAGCCACGGCUAACUACGUG